rnacentral:tRNA from 1 species
GUGUGCGUAGCUCAGCUGGAUAGAGCGUCUGACUACGGAUCAGAAGGUCGGGAGUUCGAAUCUUCUCGCACACGCUA